CACACACACACACACACACACACACACAGUAUAGCUUUUAUUCAAUGCUAUUUUCUUUGAAGCUGAUCUGCUGUCUGCUAAUGUUUAUUGAACACAGAAUCAAAGAGGAUACAGCUCUGAGCAUCAGGAGGUUAGGUCAACACAAGUUCACCUCAGAUGCGUAAUGUCAGCAAUCUAUUACUGUACAGCUUACUCAGCGUACUCUAUUUAACCAUAGAAUGUUGAGUUGUUUUGUACAAACCAUAACAUUCCAUUAUACAUAUUUAUUACACGCCUCUGUGGGAUACUUGAUUCUGAUUGGUCAGUCGCGAGUUGACAUCCCUAGAUAACAACAAAGGCUCAUCCGGGUAACCGCAGUUCCACUGCACACUUGCUUGAACAAUUUUUCUUCUUGGUGGAAGCUUUGCGUUUUUUUAAGCAGCUGCUGUGGCUGGAGUUUAUACAUUUCGAAGAAGGGGCUAUUUGCGCCAGCUCGCGGCUAUGUGACAGGCACUUCUCUGACGAAUCCUUCACCAAUUUGGGGAUGGUUACUGCUGGGAUAACGUGCUACCUUACAUUAGCAAACACGGCUGUUCCGACUCUUUACACUGUAGGCGCUUCCCCUCCCGCACGAGUAAGUAUUGUUUUCUUCAUAAGCUCCUUAGAUGUUGCACUUCUUUCAUCAAAAUGUAAUCACUAAGGUCUUCGCCUCAGAAACAACCUUUCAUGUAUGCUAUGAGUGACGUGAGAGCGUCAUUACGCAGGAAUCAUUUGAACCGGAUCUUUAGAGCCGAUUCUUUGAAAUGAACAGUUAAAUUUCGCUCCAGAAUUCUUCACAAAUUUACAGCAGUACGAAAUGGGCUUCUAUGACUUUCUUAGCUAGAUAGAUACGGCUGUUCCGACAAUAUACACCGGUGGUCCGGCACCGAGAGAUAGAAGCCAAUAACACGCGAGGUGGGCUGCCAGUGUAAUACUCCGCUUCUGAAGAGCGUUGCGGUCCAAGCAGUACGCACCCAAAAAAAGCCAAAACGGAGAAGUAAAG